rnacentral:lncRNA from 1 species
UUAAACAACUGAUGGGGCCUUGAAAGUUACCAUCAAACGUCUGGAACUUCCAUGGCUUUCUGAAAGUUGGGGGUCCCCCAGCCACCACUCAUAUAAGCUAAGAUUGAAUCCUCAAACUGACUGUGUCCCCUGCCCACCCUGUAGAACACAGCCCUUCACAGCCUCUGCAGUCCACUUUAGCUGAGCAACUGCCAGCUUUGUGUGGGAGAAAUUUGGUGCAUAGGACACAGGAAGACUUAAGGCCAUUGAAGGAGGCUGGCCAGGGCCAUCCCUGGUAUUGCAGGAAGGUCUUAUGUCUUAAAUCUGAACCUGACAGCCCUCAAGGGUACCAAAAAUAGACCUUCUGCUAGAUAAUUGUGGCUUGAUGCCAUUUGGAUGGUGCAAGGAUUUCUAUCAAGUCCUUUAUGGCUAUUGAAAUUACCCUAUUUAUAUUUCCUCCCCUCACCAACAUUCCCUUCCCUUACACACCCAGCAAAACUUCAUGGAUCAACGACUUCCUUGCCAUUUUGUUUCUGCAUCCACCACUGGCCUCCGCAUCUAUCUGGAGAGGUAAAACUCCAUUCAUCUAGUCUCCAGCAGAGAGAUACCCACCCUUUGGCCAUCCAGGACCCUGGGAGGUCCCUCACCCAGGAGGUUCCUCACCCCAGUGGGAAAAUUCCAGUCCAAUGACUGGCACCCUUGUGACAUAAGAGUUCAGGGGACACUCUGCUCUUAAAGCAUCGCUUCUGUCAAGUCUCUCCAAACAUGGAAGUUACCCAGUCAGUUCCCAGAGACACUGUGGGGAGCCACUCUGAUUGAUUCAUGUCUUCCAUUUCAGAGCACAGAGGCUUUGACCGUCACUACAUCUCGUAGUGACUUGGACAUUGCCCCUGUCCCAGAAGUUCAUAAGUUUGAGGAUGCAGCUUCAGAUGUAGGCAUCACCCUACAGCCCUUGGGUCAAAUUACACUCACAAGUCCCUUGUAACUCC